UGGGGAAUAUUGGGCAAUGGGCGCAAGCCUGACCCAGCAACGCCGCGUGAAGGAAGAAGGUCUUCGGAUUGUAAACAUCUGUCCUAUGGGAAGAAAAAAAUGACGGUACCAUAGGAGGAAGCCCCGGCUAACUACGUGCCAGCAGCCGCGGUAAUACGUAGGGGGCAAGCGUUGUCCGGAAUUACUGGGCGUAAAGGGUGCGCAGGCGGCAUUUUAAGUCAGAUGUGAAAUACCCGGGCUUAACCCGGGGGGUGCAUUUGAAACUGGAAUACUUGAGUGCAGGAGAGGAAAGUGGAAUUCCUAGUGUAGCGGUGAAAUGCGUAGAUAUUAGGAGGAACACCAGUGGCGAAGGCGACUUUCUGGACUGUAACUGACGCUGAGGCACGAAAGCGUGGGGAGCAAACA
rnacentral:rRNA from 1 species